rnacentral:rRNA from 1 species
CGGCCGCGUCGACUGUAAAGCUCUGUUAAUCGGGACGAAAGGCCUUCUUGCGAAUAGUGAGAAGGAUUGACGGUACCGGAAUAGAAAGCCACGGCUAACUACGUGCCAGCAGCCGCGGUAAUACGUAGGUGGCAAGCGUUGUCCGGAAUUAGUUGGGUAGUAAAGCGCGCGCAGGCGGUCCUUUAAGUCUGAUGUAGAAACGCCCACGGCUCAACCGUGGAGGGUCAGUUAGGAAACUGGAGGACUUGAGUGCAGAGAGAAGUGGAAUUCCAUGUGUAGCGGUAGAAAUGCGUAGAGAUGUGGAGGAACACCAGUGGACGAAGGCGUACUUUCGUGGUCUAGUAACUGACGCUGAGGCGACGAAGCGUGGGGAGCAAACAGGAUUAGAUACCCUGGUAGUCCACGCCGUAAACGAUGAGUGCUAAGUGUUAGG